rnacentral:rRNA from 2 species
AAAUUGAAGAGUUUGAUCAUGGCUCAGAUUGAACGCUGGCGGCAGGCCUAACACAUGCAAGUCGAACGGUAACAGGAAGAAGCUUGCUUCUUUGCUGACGAGUGGCGGACGGGUGAGUAAUGUCUGGGAAACUGCCUGAUGGAGGGGGAUAACUACUGGAAACGGUAGCUAAUACCGCAUAACGUCGCAAGACCAAAGAGGGGGACCUUCGGGCCUCUUGCCAUCGGAUGUGCCCAGAUGGGAUUAGCUUGUUGGUGGGGUAACGGCUCACC